rnacentral:rRNA from 1 species
UACGAAGGGGGCUAGCGUUGCUCGGAAUCACUGGGCGUAAAGCGCACGUAGGCGGAUGUGCCAGUCAGGGGUGAAAUCCCGGGAGCUCAACUCCGGAACUGCCUCUGAUACAGCACGUCUUGAGUUCGAGAGAGGUGGGUGGAAUUCCUAGUGUAGAGGUGAAAUUCGUAGAUAUUAGGAAGAACACCGGUGGCGAAGGCGGCCCACUGGCUCGAUACUGACGCUGAGGUGCGAAAGCGUGGGGAGCAAACAGG